AUGGUUAAUGGACACAAACUUCCAGCCAAUUUGCAAGUACUUAUACCCAAUAUGAAACAUGACAAUUUGAGCUUCCACCUAAUACCAAAGGAGCUAUUGGGCCUACAUCAUAAACCAGAAAUAACAACAGACCCCAGAACUCGUGAAAGAAUCAAGAAAACUAAUUGUGAAGAAUUCAAUCAGAGGAGAGAUCACCACAUGAAAGAACAACAGCAGCAGCAAAUUGCAGAUUCUGGUGCUCCAAUUGCUGGUCCAAUUGCAGAUUCUGGUGCUCCAAUUGCUGGUCCAAUUGCAGAUUCUGUGAGGGACACUCAUUUGGGAAAGAAAAUUCUUACUCUUAAAGCUUAUAUAUAA